UUCCGUAAUUCCGUAUCGAAGCGUUAUUUCAUUCAGGCGGCGUACGUGUGCACGUGUUUCGAAGAUAAAAGAGUUUUUAAGAGUAGGCUAUUUGACGAAAUUUUUCUUUCUGAAAACUUCCUUGUUGUGUUGUGUUGUAUUAACAUAGUAACAGUGAUGUCCUAGGGCAGGCGUCAGGAAUAUCAUCACGUGAAACAGAGAGUUCUCGAAAUAUUAGGUCCAAGUGGUACAUCACCAUCAUUAGAAUCGAGUACUUCAACGAUCUUUUGAGAUUGCAUGUAGAUAAAAAAAAUGCAGAGAUAGAAAUGGAUAAGAACACCAUCAAAAUAAAAAGUUGUCCAAAUUUGGCCUCAACGGGGGUAAGGACGUAGCAGAGACAACACGCAAAAUAAUCUAACUCAUAAUAAGCCAUGAAUCAGGAAUUUCCCUGAAUUGGUCGGGUAGGAAUUAAUAAUAAAAAUGGAUUAGAAGCAAUGGCGAAUAUUGUUGAGCUUAAUCAUGGAUCUGUAAGGAUAAAUCCUAUUACAAGAAGUGCCACUGAUGUGGAAAUGAAUCAUGUAAUGAAUUGGCUUCGCAAUACCGGUGACAGAGCAGGAGGCAGAUUGAAAUGAGCGGGGGAAAAAGAAG